UGGAAAGCUGUGGGUACUGUUCCAAC
rnacentral:piRNA from 1 species